CCUGGACACAAGUAGGCUGUGGGGAGUGAAGAGAGGGGUGUGCUCAAUAUUUUCAAUAGAGGAGGGCAGCCUCUGGCCCCACCUCCAUCUCACCCCAAGGCUAGUGAAAAGGUUACAGAUCCACCAGAGAGGUCAGAAGUGCCAGAUUCACUGGAGGAGAUCAGCAGAGGCACGAUCAGUGGUCCUUGGAUGGAAUGGAGAUGGGGUUUUAGGAUAGCUGACCUGACUUUGACGUGGCCAUCUCCAAAGCAUUUUUCUGACUGAGAGCCAGUGAGUAAAAUCUUUGCAGUUUCCAUUAGAAAUAGUUUUGCUAUAAGCAUCAUAUAAUAUUGGAAGUU
rnacentral:lncRNA from 1 species